UACAUACACUUAAAAUUAUAUGUAGAAAUGAAUAUUAGUAUUAAUAGGUAGGCAGGCUGAAAUAUCCAACUAACCACCAUGCUGUUGUGUAAAACAAAUAAUAUAUUAAAAUUGAAAGGGAAAAAUCACUUAGAAGUUGGAGAAAAGAAGCUGGUUUAGAUAGCUAAAAUAAAGUUCUGAGCUUUUAAAAUGUAUUUAUAAUUUAUGAACAUUUAUCCAGAGAAAAACAUUGCUUUAAAAUCUUCUUCGACAAUCCUCUUUGUAACUGAACAAGGUUAAAUGGCUGCUUCUGUUUUAAAAGUAAGCUCCUAAUUUUUUCCUCAAGGGAAAUAUUAGUUUAAUUAUAAGAUUCCAACAUGAGAGCUAUGGGUUACAAGAAACACAUGUGCUGGGUCACCUCAGUGACUGUCACACUCUUAAAGGUAUUGAAGUACAAUAUCAUAAUCACAGAAUAAGAGGAGAGAUAUCAGAUCUUCUUUUGAUUUUAUGAAAGUGAAAGUCAAAUAAAAAUGCAAAUAAUAAAAAUAUUCCAUAUACGCUAGCUAUUAUUAU
rnacentral:lncRNA from 1 species